rnacentral:rRNA from 1 species
AUUGAACGCUGGCGGCAUGCCUUACACAUGCAAGUCGAACGGUAACGCGGGGCAACCUGGCGACGAGUGGCGAACGGGUGAGUAAAGUAUCGGAACGUGCCCAGUAGUGUGGGAUAGCCCGGCGAAAGCCGGAUUAAUACCGCAUAAGACCUGAGGGUGAAAGCGGGGGAUCGCAAGACCUCGCGCUAUUGGAGUGGCCGAUAUCAGAUUAGGUAGUUGGGGGGGUAAAGGCCUACCAAGCCGACGAUCUGUAGCUGGUCUGAGAGGACGACCAGCAACACUGGGACUGAGACACGGCCCAGACUCCUCCGGGAGGCAGCAGUGGGGAAUUUUGGACAAUGGGCGAAAGCCUGAUCCAGCCAUGCCGCGUGCGGGAAGAAGGCCUUCGGGUUGUAAACCGCUUUUGUCGGGGAAGAAAUCUUCUGGGCUAAUACCUUGGAAGGAUGACGGUACCCGAAGAAUAAGCACCGGCUAACUACGUGCCAGCCGCCGCAGUAA